GAUGAACGCUAGCGGCAGGCCUAAUACAUGCAAGUCGAACGAGAUUGGAGGUGCUUGCUCUUCCAUGAAAGUGGCGCACGGGUGCGUAACGCGUAUGCAACCUACCUUCUUCAGGGGGAUAGCCUCUCGAAAGAGAGAUUAACACCGCAUAACAUUAUUGAGUGGCAUCAUUUAAUAAUCAAAUAUUUCUAGGAAGAAGAUGGGCAUGCGUGACAUUAGUUAGUUGGUGAGGUAACGGCUCACCAAGACUACGAUGUCUAGGGGAUCCGAGAGGAUGACCCCCCACACUGGUACUGAGACACGGACCAGACUCCUACGGGAGGCAGCAGUAAGGAAUAUUGGUCAAUGGGGGCAACCCUGAACCAGCCAUGCCGCGUGCAGGAAGACGGCCCUACGGGUUGUAAACUGCUUUUAUACCGGAAUAAUUCCCAGUACGUGUACUGGGUUGAAUGUACGGUAAGAAUAAGGAUCGGCUAACUCCGUGCCAGCAGCCGCAGUAAGAC
rnacentral:rRNA from 1 species